CAAUAACAGGAAUUAACCAGACUAUAGGGCCAAGCACACUCUAAUCCAUAGACAUGACUUUACUUAAUCAUUACAUUAUCUUCCAUUAUCUUACAGUACAUUAUCUCAAAUUACAUUAAUAUACUUUACAUUUCAUGUCCACUUCUAAAACUACUAAACUAUGACAUAAACAUAAAUUGAGCUAUUACAUGCAUAACAUCACUUAGCCUUGACUUUACCCUGAAACUUCUGAACUCGACCUCAACCUGCAACACUGGGGUUAGGGGAGAGGGGUGAGCUAAAAAGCCCAGUGAGUAGAAACAUGGAAAACGGUUCAUUAAUUACAUGCUUUCAUGGAAUGCGUCACAUCACAAGUAAUCACAUAACUGUAUCCGUCUCGGGGCUCAUACAUGCAUCUUAUCCCCACGGACUGUUUUCUGAGAGUCCUCGUAAGCGCUAGCAUCCUUUCUCUCAGAGGAUAGACAUGACCCCAAAAAUCCCUCUGUCGGUGCCCGGCUCCCCCAUAGGAGCUCACACAGGCCUAUAACAUACAUAACAGGGUACCUAGUCCACAGAGAGCUCACAAGGACUUUCCUACAUGUACUUGUCCGGCUCUCAAAGGACUCACCCAAGACUCAAUGACAGAUAUGGGCUAUUGGAGUCGCCUUGGUCCACCCUUCCUCAUCAUCAACAUGAAAUAAUGCAAUGCAUCAUAUUCGUGAACUAGUGCAAACAACCUACUACAUAUAAUCAUGAUGCAUGAACAUGCUUUAGGCAUUAGAUUUCUUACAUAAAAGAUUAAGUUUAGUUCUACUCACCUCCUGGCAGACGCCGACUGACUCUGCAACAACUAGCACUGAUGGCCUCCUCGGUCCCUCGGGUCCGAUCCUACACAGGUGGACUCGAAUGAGGUGCCAACAUACUCUAAACAACUCAUAAACAUACCCCCAUAAACCCCUCUAAACAUCACUUAAACAUGCAUAGAAAACACCCAAGAAAAGGCUGGACAGGGC
rnacentral:lncRNA from 1 species